rnacentral:misc_RNA from 1 species
AGGACACAAAAAAAAAAAUGGUAAACAAAUUACGUUAUUUGUCAUUUGUAGUGUAGGAAAAAAAGGGGAAAAUACUUAAUAACAAUUCCACCUCACUUAUACGUCAAAGUACAAGGGCACAUCAAAUGCAACUGCAAACUUUCACUAUUUUGUAAGGAGCAAGCAUACUUAUCUAGAGCACUUCAUACUAUCAAUUAAUCCGUACAAUCACCCUCUCAAUCUUCAUCAUCUGAGCUUCCCUCGUUACUACUAUAAUCACUACUGUCAUCACCCUGAUCAAGAAUAUCAAGCUGUACAUGUCGAACCUGUAUUGUCUCAGGUGGCUUAUGCAAUCCCUGAGGAGCACCUGGCUGCAAUUGUUGCUCCACCAUCCUAGGCACAGGAAGAGACUCAAAUGGAGGUAAUGGGUCCCCAGGCUUCCAUCCUGGUGGCGGCGGGGGUAAAUCUGUAGGCAAAACCACCGGCAUCCCAGGUUUCCACCCAGAUGGAACUGUGAUAUUGGGAGGAAGCAGGCUCUGAAUGGCAGCAUAAUUGGCAAGCGGAUUGGUCUCCUCUGGUUGUGGCGGUGGGGGAGGCUCAAUGAUUGCCUCAAUGGUUUUCUCCUUAGUUUCGACCUUUUUAGGCAAUCCCACGUCGAGGUCAGCAAAAGCGUACAACUGAGAAGCUCGCAUUUGCUCUUCUUGUGGAGCAGGAGGAAGUGCCCCACGAAGCGGAGCCUGCCCAGCACCAAAAUCAGGCGGCGCAAAAGUGGUAUAACUUAUCCGGUGAGCAUAAGAUAAAAUAUCCGAUAACUCGAGCUGAGAGGCAACAGUGGUAUUGCUCACACCAUCGUCCUCUAAUGAUUUUGUUUUUGCCCGUUUAGGACGGCGAUAAUCAGAGUAAUCAUCGACGAGGAUAUCAAGGACUCUUUCGGCUUCUUUGAGCUUAUUGGCGAAGUUGAGAAGCGCAGAAUCUUUGGAUUUGAUAUCGCGAGCAAUUCUUUGCUUGGCAUCUUGGAGGUCAAGGAUUUCUUGGAGCUCAGCAACGGCUUCAAAAAGUUGGGUCUGGAGGGAAGUGAAAAGAGAAAGAAUUUCUUUAGUGGAGGAAGGAUUGGAUUCGAGUGGAGGCGGAGGCAUUGAUUGGAUCUGAGAGGAGAGGAAUGUAGGUAGCGAUCCACGAAUGGUGGAUAGCCAAAGGGAUCGAUUGGGGGAGACUUCGAAAAACUUGGAAGCUAAGGAGGCCAUCUGGAGAAGAAGAGACUGGGCUCUACGGAGAGGAGGGAGAAGAGGGAGGAGAGCAGAGGACGUGGAGGAGGCAUUUGGGGGAUGCUGCUGCUGCUGCUGAUGGUGGUGGUGAACCAGCAAGUGCCUCGGUUGCUCCUCUUCUAUUGGUAUUAGCGUUUGCCCAUUGGAAUGCCUCGGUGGUUGUUCUUGAAUUGGGGCUAGCCUCUGUCCAUUUGAAUUAUGCUUUUCUUGAUGCUGUAUUGGUAUGUGAUUCCCAUUGCCAUUAGGCAUGGAGUUCUUCAACUUCAACAUAUCUAGAGUCUCUACAUACUUUUGAACUCUUUUCACCUGCAUUUUCCUCUGUAAUUUCACAUCCCCAUCGCCCAUAAUUCCAUCCAAUUUCAGCAAUUGAUUCAUCAAUAACUCAAUCAAAUUAGGCACAGUUUUCUCUGCUACUUUCCCACCUUUAGUAAUUAUAGAUUCAAGGGCGGACACCUGGCCGGCGAGUCUAUCAACUUCCAGGCUGAUUUCUGAAAUGGAUUUUGAAGCCUUCUCCAUCUUGGCAUUCCUUCUCAUCUCAAGGAAACGUUUUUCUUGGCUAAUUGGGUCCUCAACGAGAACAAUUUUGGACUUGUCCUUCACUCCAGAUAUGUCAAGAAAUGCAUUUGAAUCCCUCUCCUUGUCUUUGUAAAUCAGCUUUUGGUCUUGAUGGUGCAGUCCUGUCGGCCCUGUCAACAUUUUCUUCAACUCCCCAAAUGUAGCUUGGGAGCUUAUACUGAUUUCGUGGAACGUUGACCCGUACUUAACCCUAACUCUUAUUGUCGGUGGGGGGAUGGAGCUCCGACCAGAGUCCGGGUUUCGCUUCUGUACCAACAUUCCUCCUGGUCUAAGCUCCCAUUCGGCUCCAGUCUCGCCUCCGCCGCCGCUGCCACCAACUCUUGAGCCGCCAUUCAUAGGCGACAGCGCUGUCGGUUUAGUCUUCAUUCUCAUCAUUUUUUUUUUUUAAAUUUAACUCUCUUUGUUGCUUGUAUCGGUUGCAAAAAUUUAUGACACUUUUCAGGCAAAAGAGCCUCAGAUCUGUAGGAACCGUGAUUCUUCACGAUCUGUGUUAGAAAUCAAAGACACUCAUCUGAGACAAAGCUGUUCAACCCUGUUUCUGAUAGAGUUUCAGAAUGCUACCACCGCAGCAUUACACAAGUCCAAUCUCAAGAGCCACGCGUACACAGACAGAGAAAGAAAGAAAGAGCGCGUAACUUGCACAACCUUCUACUUUUAUUUUCUUUCUCUUUGCUGAAUCAAUGGCGUCUCUCAAAAGAAAAACUCCUGCCCAUGAAUGAAAUGAAUCUUCAAUUCUUGCAAUUGAAGAAAACUAAGCUCAUCCGUUCCCCAUCCGCAGGGAAAUCAAGAAUCUGCCAAAACCUUGAAAUGAAGAAAGUAAAUCCCAGAUCUCUCCCACAAAA